rnacentral:rRNA from 1 species
AUACGGAGGAUCCGAGCGUUAUCCGGAUUUAUUGGGUUUAAAGGGUGCGCAGGCGGGAGAUUAAGUCGGCGGUGAAAUUUUGCAGCUCAACUGUAAGAGUGCCUUCGAAACUGGUUUCCUUGAGUGUAGAUGGAGUAGGCGGAAUUUGUGGUGUAGCGGUGAAAUGCAUAGAUAUCACGAGGAACUCCGAUUGCGCAGGCAGCUUACUAAACUACUACUGACGCUCAGGCACGAAGGCGUGGGGAUCAAACAGGAUUAGAUACCCUGGUAGUCCACGCAGUAAACGAUGAUUACUAGCUGUUUGCGAUACAAUGUAAGCGGCUGAGCGAAAGCGUUAAGUAAUCCACCUGGGGAGUACGUUCGCAAGAAUGAAACUCAAAGGAAUUGACGGGG